rnacentral:rRNA from 1 species
GGAGUUAGCCGGUGCUUCUUCUGUGAGUGAUGUCCUUCCUGCCGGUUAUUGACCCGCAGGCCUUCUUCCUCACUGAAAGUGCUUUACAACCCGAAGGCCUUCUUCACACACGCGGCAUGGCUGGAUCAGGGUUGCCCCCAUUGUCCAAUAUUCCCCACUGCUGCCUCCCGUAGGAGUCUGGGCCGUGUCUCAGUCCCAGUGUGGCUGAUCAUCCUCUCAGACCAGCUACGGAUCGUCGCCUUGGUGAGCCGUUACCUCACCAACCAGCUAAUCCGACAUAGGCUCAUCCGAUAGCGCGAGGCCCGAAGGUCCCCCGCUUUCCCCCGUAGGGCGUAUGCGGUAUUAGCCUGGGUUUCCCCAGGUUAUCCCCCACUACCGGGCAGAUUCCUAUGCAUUACUCACCCGUCCGCCGCUCGCCACCAGGGAGCAAGCUACCCGUGCUGCCGCUCGACUUGCAUGUGUUAGGCCUGCCGCCAGCGUUCAAUCUGAGCCAUGAUCAAACUCUGA